rnacentral:lncRNA from 1 species
CAAUUUCAGCUGCUGGUGUUUGCAGUUGUUUUAUUUACUCUCUUUAUGUCUUAUGUUGUUUGAUUAACUCGCUGUCACGCACAGUGAGGCUUUGAGCCGGAAAAUGGGUCUACUUAUUAGCAUUAGGUUGAAGGCAACUGCUGCAGCACAUGCAGAAACAUCAUUUACACGUCUAAUAUAUGUCUCCACUAUCUGUGUCUUUAUUAUGUCCUCUGUUAUCUCUGUCUGAAGGGAUGUAUACCAUGCUGAAUAUGUGACACUUUAAUGCCACUGUAAAACAUGUGCAUGCACACACUCAGCUGGAACAUGAAGAGGUGAUGAUAUAGGUGGAAGUGUGGGGUUACAGAGAAGAGGAUUUACCAGCAGGAUGAUGAUUACCCCCCAGUAAAACCCAUCUAACACACACAAGCACAAGUAAAUCACUCCUAUAGUCCCUUCUAUACAGAACUCAGAAAUAGAUGACUGAGUUAUUUGGAUGACUUUCUAAAUGUUAAGUGUCUUCACAUGUAAAGAUCAGUGGACUAACUAAUAUUUUCUUGUUUACGUACUCACCUCUGUGUCCAAUGGCAGAUGGGGUAUCGCCCAGGAUCCACACAACCUCCUCAACCACGACAAGCUGGUCUGACAGUGGAUGGAUGGAUGGAUGGAUAAAUGGAUGGGUGGAUGAGGAGGUGAGAGAGAGGUGGGUCAUCAUGUUGCUGCUUUGAGUCCACACAUCAGCCCUUGUCACCACUUAAUGGACCUUCUGCACAGUAGAGUAGGACCACGCCAGAGUUCUCGUAUCAAUGAAGACUUAGCAGCUCUGCACUCAGAGAGGCCACCGUUCUGCCUCCAGGACGUUAAUGUCCGUCUGUCAGGCUGCCGGUCCGACGCUGAACCGUCCAGACGUUCAGAAAGCUCCAGAAAGGUUAGCAAACCCGCUUCGACCCAGGACAGCCUGCGAGUCAGAAAUAAAAUCCCAAACCGAAAAAAAACGGUGCAAAUUCAAAACAAGCUGCCAAUUAUUAACAACAGACACACAGGCCGUCUGCCUGUUCUCGCCUUUCUUUACAUAACCGCUGAUUUCCAUUCCUCGUCCAAACUAAUGGCGCAGGCAGUUUGAAGAGGAACAGGCAGAUCAUUAACAUGUGGAUUUAUUAUGUUUCCUGUCAGGAAUAAUCAACAUCUCAGGCUUAAAAUGUUUCUGAAACAUGCAGGAGCUCUUUGAUGCAUCAGCAUGAAGACGACGCGGCCGCAUUGACAGAGUGGACCCAUAAUUCACCGGCAGCUCCUCAGCCCCAUCAGACAAGGUGUUCAAAGUAAACACUUUAUUAAGAACUCUAUUUCUUCACUAAUGACUGCUUCUCUUUUAACUUUUGAAAUCAUUAUUUCAUUUUGAGUAAUUCGAUAAAAACGGGACUUACCUGCUAAACUUAAGCUGAAAUUCCUAUCUCCCCGACCACCAAAAACCGAUUUCAACACUAACGGCGAUUUAGUGCAUCACUACCGCUCUGCACAGUGUGAUGCAGUCGCCUCUAUCAGCAGGUAGGCUUCCUACCAUUCUCUGCUUUACAAGCAGUCUCAGAAUAUUUCACCAAACUGUCUCAAUUUAAAUGCUCAUAUCUGGAUAAAAAUGUCUCACAGAUCAUUGUUAGUUCUGAAGGCCGUCAUUCCCCCCCGUUUGCUUAUUUUUUCUUGUUGAGCAGCUCUGUUUGCUGUCUGUGGCCAUUGAGGGAAUUAUGACGCCAGCACAUACCUUGAACUCCGUCUGCAUCGCGCCUGCUGCAUUUUCUC